CAGCGAGCGGCUGUUGGAGUUGGACCAGAUGAAGCUGGCCACCAGCGCCGCCAUAGCCGCCGACUGGUUUUGAAGACCGCCCGUUUUGUCAGCCGGGCCGGCGUUGGAGACCAACAAGUGUACGCUCCCCUCCCGCAUCUCACCCCUCGCGCCGCACCAGACACCGCCUCCUCCUCUCCUCCGCGCCUGCCCCCUCCACCUUGCAGCAUCUGAAGGAGAUCGCGUUGGUGGUCGAGGCAGGGCCGCUGACCAAGGAGGUACGCCGGAUCUCCCGCGUCGCCCUCCGCCGCCGCCUCGCCGCCCGCGACGUCGCGGCCUUCCUUGCCUUUGCGCUAGCCCCUUCCUCCGAAGCCUUCACCCGCCUCUCCCCCCUCCUUCCCAAGGAAGAUGGGAGUGAAAUGGAUGUUGAUGCAGCAGCUCCGGCGGAG